rnacentral:rRNA from 1 species
UACGUAGGGGCCUAGCGUUGUCCGGAUUUAUUGGGCGUAAAGAGCUCGUAGGCGGUUCGGCAAGUCGGAUGUGAAAUCCCUCGGCUCAACCGGGGAACUGCGUCCGAUACUGGUGGGCUCGAAUCCGGGAGAGGGAUGUGGAAUUCCAGGUGUAGCGGUGAAAUGCGUAGAUAUCUGGAGGAACACCGGUGGCGAAGGCGGCAUCCUGGACCGGUAUUGACGCUGAUGCGCGAAAGCCAGGGGAGCAAACGGG